UCGCCUUCAGUUGCCAGCAUGUUUGGGUUGGGCACUCUGAAGGAACUGCCGGUGACAAGCCGGAGGAAGGUGGGGAUGACGUCAAGUCCUCAUGGCCCUUAUGUCCUGGGCUACACACGUGCUACAAUGGCGGUGACAGUGGGAAGCCAGGUGGUGACACCGAGCUGAUCUCAAAAAGCCGUCUCAGUUCGGAUUGCACUCUGCAACUCGAGUGCAUGAAGGUGGAAUCGCUAGUAAUCGCGGAUCAGCAUGCCGCGGUGAA
rnacentral:rRNA from 1 species